GACGAACGCUGGCGGCGUGGAUUAGGCAUGCAAGUCGAACGGUAUCAUCCUUUCGGGGGUGAGAGAGUGGCGAACUGGUGAGUAACACGUAGGUUAUCUACCCUCAAGACGGGGACAACCCAGGGAAACUUGGGCUAAUACCGGAUGUGAGCAACUUUUAGUUGUUUGAAAGGUGGCGUAAGCUGUCGCUUGGGGAUGAGCCUGCGUCCUAUUAGUUAGUUGGUGAGGUAACGGCUCACCUAGGCAAUGAUAGGUAGGCGGCCUUAACGGGUGGUCGCCCACACUGGGAUUGAGAUACGGCCCAGACUCCUACGGGAGGCAGCAGUCGAGAAUAGUCUACAAUGGUCGGAAGACUGAUAGUGCGACGCCGCGUGAACGAUGAAUCCCUUCGGGGUGUAAAGUUCUUUUAUAUGUGAGCAGUGCUUCUUAUAUUAACAGUAUGGGGAAGAGAUAUUAGCAUAUGAAUAAGCAACGGCUAACUCCGUGCCAGCAGCCGCGGUAAUCU
rnacentral:rRNA from 1 species